rnacentral:rRNA from 1 species
AUUGAACGCUGGCGGCAUGCCUUACACAUGCAAGUCGAACGGUAACGCGGGGCAACCUGGCGACGAGUGGCGAACGGGUGAGUAAUGUAUCGGAACGUGCCCAGUUGUGGGGGAUAACUGCUCGAAAGAGCAGCUAAUACCGCAUACGACCUGAGGGUGAAAGCGGGGGAUCGCAAGACCUCGCGCAAUUGGAGCGGCCGAUAUCAGAUUAGGUAGUUGGUGGGGUAAAGGCUCACCAACCCGACGAGCUGUAGCUGGUCUGAGAGGACGACCAGCCACACUGGGACUGAGAAACGGCCCAGACUCCUACGGGAGGCAGCAGUGGGGAAUUUUGGACAAUGGACGCAAGUCUGAUCCAGCCAUGCCGCGUGCGGGAAGAAGGCCUUCGGGUUGUAAACCGCUUUUGUCAGGGAAGAAAAGGCUCCUUCUAAUAUAGGGGGCUCAUGACGGUACCUGAAGAAUAAGCACCGGCUAACUACGUGCCAGCAGCCGCCGUAA